AGAAGUGAGCAUGCAGGCAUGAGUAGCGAUAAUUAAUGUGAGAAUCAUUAACGCCGUAAACCCAAGGUUUCCUACGCGAUGCUCGUCAUCGUAGGGUUAGUCGGGUCCUAAGUCGAGUCCGAAAGGGGUAGACGAUGGCAAAUUGGUUAAUAUUCCAAUACCAACAUUAGUGUGCGAUGGAAGGACGCUUAGGGCUAAGGGGGCUAGCGGAUGGAAGUGCUAGUCUAAGGUCGUAGGAGGUUGUACAGGCAAAUCCGUAUAACAAUACUCCGAGAACUGAAAGGCUUUUUGAAGUCUUCGGAUGGAUAGAAGAACCCCUGAUGCUGUCGAGCCAAGAAAAGUUUCUAAGUUUAGCUAAUGUUGCCCGUACCGUAAACCGACACAGGUGGGUGGGAUGAGUAUUCUAAGGCGCGUGGAAGAACUCUCUUUAAGGAACUCUGCAAAAUAGCACCGUAUCUUCGGUAUAAGGUGUGGUUAGCUUUGUAUUAGGAUUUACUCCGAAAGCAAGGAAACUUACAACAAAGAGUCCCUCCCGACUGUUUACCAAAAACACAGCACUCUGCUAACUCGUAAGAGGAUGUAUAGGGUGUGACGCCUGCCCGGUGCUCGAAGGUUAAUUGAUGGGGUUAGCAUUAGCGAAGCUCUUGAUCGAAGCCCGAGUAAACGGCGGCCGUAACUAUAACGGUCCUAAGGUAGCGAAAUUCCUUGUCGGUUAAAUACCGACCUGCAUGAAUGGCGUAACGAGAUGGGAGCUGUCUCAAAGAGGGAUCCAGUGAAAUUGUAGUGGAGGUGAAAAUUCCUCCUACCCGCGGCAAGACGGAAAGACCCCGUGGACCUUUACUACAGCUUGACACUGCUACUUGGAUAAGAAUGUGCAGGAUAGGUGGGAGGCUUUGAGUAUAUGACGCCAGUUGUAUAUGAGCCAUUGUUGAGAUACCACUCUUUCUUAUUUGGGUAGCUAACCAGCUUGAGUUAUCCUCAAGUGGGACAAUGUCUGGUGGGUAGUUUGACUGGGGCGGUCGCCUCCCAAAUAAUAACGGAGGCUUACAAAGGUUGGCUCAGAACGGUUGGAAAUCGUUCGUAGAGUAUAAAGGUAUAAGCCAGCUUAACUGCAAGACAUACAAGUCAAGCAGAGACGAAAGUCGGUCUUAGUGAUCCGGUGGUUCUGUGUGGAAGGGCCAUCGCUCAAAGGAUAAAAGGUACCCCGGGGAUAACAGGCUGAUCUCCCCCAAGAGCUCACAUCGACGGGGAGGUUUGGCACCUCGAUGUCGGCUCAUCGCAUCCUGGGGCUGGAGCAGGUCCCAAGGGUAUGGCUGUUCGCCAUUUAAAGCGGUACGCGAGCUGGGUUCAGAACGUCGUGAGACAGUUCGGUCCCUAUCUGCCGUGGGCGUAAGAAGAUUGAAGAGAUUUGACCCUAGUACGAGAGGACCGGGUUGAACAAACCACUGGUGUAGCUGUUGUUCUGCCAAGAGCAUCGCAGCGUAGCUAAGUUUGGAAAGGAUAAACGCUGAAAGCAUCUAAGCGUGAAGCCAACUCUAAGAUGAAUCUUCUCUAAGCUCUCUAGAAGACUACUAGUUUGAUAGGCUGGGUGUGUAAUGGAUGAAAGUCCUUUAGCUGACCAGUACUAAUAGAGCGUUUGGCUUAUCUUU
rnacentral:rRNA from 1 species